GAUGAACGCUGGCGGCGUGCCUAAUACAUGCAAGUAGAACGCUGAAGGAGGGAGCUUGCUUCUUCUGGAUGAGUUGCGAACGGGUGAGUAACGCGUAGGUAACCUGCCUGAUAGCGGGGGAUAACUAUUGGAAACGAUAGCUAAUACCGCAUAAGAGGUAAUAACACAUGUUAUUGGUUUAAAAGGGGCAACUGCUCCACUAUCAGAUGGACCUGCGUUGUAUUAGCUAGUUGGUGGGGUAAGAGCCUACCAAGGCAACGAUGCAUAUCCGAGCUGAGAGGCUGAUCGGGACACACUGGGGACUGAGACACGGGCCCCAGACUCCUACGGGAGGCAGCAGUGGGAAUUUUUGGGCAAUGGGGGCAACCC
rnacentral:rRNA from 1 species